ACGUCCCUGCCCUUUGUACACACCGCCCGUCGCUACUACCGAUUGAAUGGCUUAGUGAGUCCUUCGGAUCGAGUUCUGGGAGCUGGCAACAGCAUCUGGAAAUUGAAAAGUUGGGCAAACUUGGUCAUUUAGAGGAAGUAAAAGUCGUAACAAGGUUUCCGUAGGUGAACCUGCGGAAGGAUCAUUACAAGGUUCUAAUGUCGGAUUAAAAUCCGGCAGCCUGAUCAUUCACCAUGUGCACGCAUUGAAAUAUGCCUUGGUAAAAGACUUUCCUUUUUUUUUUGAGGUCGUCUUUGCCAGAGUCUUCUUUAAUUGAACUCAUGCCUGAAUAACUUGACUGUAAAUAAAAAAACAACAAAUUAUAAUACAACUUUCAACAACGGAUCUCUUGGCUCUCGCAUCGAUGAAGAACGCAGCGAAAUGCGAUACGUAAUGUGAAUUGCAGAAUUCCGUGAAUCAUCGAAUCUUUGAACGCAUAUUGCACUCUUUGGUAUUCCGAAGAGUAUGCCUGUUUCAGUAUCAAAAACACCAUCGAAUCCUUCGCAAGAUGGAAUUUCGGAUUUGGGCAUUGCGCGGACGCAUUUGUUUGUUGUGUUUGUGCUCGUCUGAAAUGCAAGGUGGCAAUUUUAGGUCUCAGAAGGCGUCAUAGUUGGCCGACGGUCAUCUUUCGCCGGAACUCGAAUAGGGCUGGGACUGUCCACACAACACAAUUUUUUUUUGAUCUUGAUCUGAAAUCAGGCAGGAUUACCCGCUGAACUUAAGCAUAUCAAUAAGCGGAGGAAAAGAAACUAACAAGGAUUCCCUUAGUAACGGCGAGUGAAGCGGGAAGAGCUCAAAUUUGGAAUCCGGCAUCUUUUGGUGUUGGAAUUGUAAGCUAUAGAGGCGUUUUCGGUGGGAGCCCGGGUAUAAGUCCAUUGGAACAGGGCAUCACAGAGGGUGAGAAUCCCGUCUUUGACCCGGAGCAACCUACUGUGUGAUACGCUUUCAAAGAGUCGGUUUGUUUGGGAAUGCAGACCAAAAUGGGUGGUAAAUUCCAUCUAAAGCUAAAUACAGGCGAGAGACCGAUAGCGAACAAGUACCGUGAGGGAAAGAUGAAAAGCACUUUGAAAAGAGAGUUAAACAGUACGUGAAAUUGUUGAAAGGGAAACGUUUGGAAUUAGUGUUGCAUGCGGGAAAUCAGCCCGGCCUUGGUCUGGUGCAUUUUCCCGUAGGCAGGUCAGCGUCGGUUUUGGUUGCCAGAAAAUGGCGUGGGCAAAGUGGCUCUUCGGAGUGUUAUAGGCCUGCGUCAGCGUGGUGAUUGGGACUGAGGUCCGCAGCCAGCCGUCUCGGCGGCGGGGGUGUUGGGUGCUGGGCGGAUGCGGGGUGUGGAACAGCUUGCUGACCGUAUCUCGAUGUUCCGUCCACUCGCCUGAAGUGCUCUCCUCCUGGCUUAGGUCGCUGACUUAAUGAUUCUAAAUGACCCGUCUUGAAACACGGACCAAGGAGUCUAACAUGUAUGCGAGUGUUCCCAACGCGUGAG
rnacentral:rRNA from 1 species